GUCAGGUUGGCUGAAUGGUCUAAGGUGCCAGACUCAGGGCCUAGCUGUGGGUGGGUGUUCUGGUCUCUGUAUGGAGACAUGGGUUCAAAUCCCGUUUCUAACA
rnacentral:tRNA from 1 species